GAGUGGAGCUGGAGCGAAGUCCGGAGGCUGUCGGGGAAGGAAGUGACUUGGAAGCCUUAGAGCUCGGGCAGGGAGGGACUGCAGCAGUUUUCCUUCCCCUGUGACACCACUUGCACCCAGGAUUUUCCUUGGGUACCUGGUUUUGGGUACAUUUGUGCGAUUAUGCAUUGAAUGAACCCACUCAAAACUCUGCAACCUGUUACUCCACUGACCUGACAUGAGAACGCAUUAAUGGCUACCAUGUAUGAAUAAUACCACAUGCAAGGAGUAUUCUCAGCCCACCUUGCUGAAG